rnacentral:rRNA from 1 species
GACGUAGGGGGCCAGCGUUGUUCGGAAUUACUGGGUGUAAAGGGUUCGUAGACGGUGCGGCAAGUCGGGAGUGAAAUCUCUGGGCUCAACCCAGAGGCUGCUUCCGAAACUGCUGUGCUUGAGUGUGGGAGAGGCGCGUGGAAUUGCAGGUGUAGCGGUGAAAUGCGUAGAUAUCUGCAGGAACACCCGUGGCGAAAGCGGCGCGCUGGACCACUACUGACGCUGAAGAACGAAAGCUAGGGAGCAAACAGG